CGCGAGAGCAGGAUGCACGCCCGAAACAUCUUUCUGCGCGCAGAACACACAACACGAGCGCAGCCCGGCGACGGGAACCAGCGCAGAAAUGCUACCAACUGCAACAACCAGCAAAACAUCAACAUGCUUAACCUAAGCAAUCAUGCGAACGCGCAGACAAAAAGACGAAUUAAUUGGAAACUGUUUGUCGUGUUCGGCCAAGAACCAACGAAUCCCUCGGCAUUGUGCACUGAUACGGAAGAUUAAACACUUUCUGAUUGUGAUCACUUGUUUUAAGCAAAAAUAAUUAAAAUCGAGUUUUUGAUCAAAAUCACUAAGCGAGUGUCUUUGGUGUGAAACUAUAAAACGUGACGAGGGAUGUGAUUUUAUUCACCGCCAUCAAACCCAAGACCUACGACACAUUUAUUACCGCGUAGCCAUUUUCACCCAGGCACUCUGCUACGUGUCAAGCCACAGCGAUGGGAUAUUUAACGUAAGCUACGCAUAUUAUUCCGCAAAAAGUAACCAUCGGGAGAGGCGUAAUAUCGAAAUGGAACACGUGCCCGGAAAACACUUGAUCCGAACAAUACAUUCUCCCUCAAAGGGUGCAACGAACGGCCGGACAUUGAAAUAAUACGAAGGUUCAAGUGGUAAAUGGUAAUGCAGAUGGUUACGAGGUGAAAUGCAUCCGGAAGGCUACUAAAGCCCCCAAAAAACUACCCCGCUUGGCUCUAUAGGGAUAACACCUUCUACAACUAUCCAGGACGGCUGGCAAUUUACAAAAAGCGUCGAGCGGCUCGGAAUGGCAUACAAUCCAACUUGUCUCGCACUUGUCUAGCCCCAAGCAAGUGCGGAUUGAUAGAUCAGCUUGUAAAGUGGGACUUUUAUUAAUAUUCCCUUUGGGAGCUCUUAUCCCAUACUUUUUCUUUCCCGGGAAUUCUAUAGGAAGUGUAGAAAUCAUUAUAAAAUUUAACUGAUUUGUAAAUAUCCUAAUGGUAUGUUACAGAAUAGUUCUUUGAAAAAUCUAAGAAAAGCAAUCGGUGAAAUUGGGCCGAAGUCGGAGACUCGGAGUCAAAGUCGAACCUCAAAGUUUGACUUGGACGUGCGCAACGAACUUGACGAACGUAGAAACGACUAAAAUGCAACCCCGGCACUUGUCAUGGACACGGACAUCUGGAUGCUCGCCUGGGGCCCAGAUGUUUUCAACUCUUCUCCUCUUCUUCUUUCCUCUCGGGCCCAUUGAACUUCUGUCAUGCUAACACGUCGAUUCCCCACGUUAUGAUAUUCUUUUGAGUUUCAGAUUGAAGUUGUCGGCUUGCUUUCUCUGCGUGCACAGAUCAAUCGCGUUAUUGUUGUCCAUGGACCGCGGAAAUGUGAUCUGUAAGAGUAAAUCUUUAUAUUUUUGCUGA